AUUAUUUACCUAGUUCUUAUUUAAUGUAUAGUCGAUGUGGAAUUGAACUGUUUUCUUAUUUACGACAAAAAUCUGAAUGAUAUGGCUUAAUGUACUAGCCUGGCAUAGUGUACAUUUACCUUAAUUCUUUUUUUUUACCUGUGUUUUGACCUACAGUAUGACAUCAAUUAAUUUUGAGAUGCUAGUCUCGCCACAAUACAAGUAAAAUAAGACCAAAUGGCACAAGAAUUGGAUAGAAGAAUAACAAAUGCAUGGAAGAGAUUUUGGUCACUCAAAGACAUGAUGAAAAACAAAAAAUACACCAUAAAAAUAAAAAGAAAACUGUUCAAUUCAUGCAUAUUGCCAACUCUUAUUUAUGGCUGCCAAACAUGGGCUAUGACACAAAAACUUCACCACAAAUUAAGAACUUGCCAGAGGAGCAUGGAGAGGAGCAUCCUGGGCUACAAAAUAAAAGACAAAAAGUGAGCGACAGACAUGAGAAGGAUAGCAAAAAUCGAAGAUGUAACCAAGAA